rnacentral:rRNA from 1 species
AUGAACGCUGGCGGCGCGCCUAACACAUGCAAGUCGAACGGCACCCACCUUCGGGUGGAAGCGAGUGGCGAACGGCUGAGUAACACGUGGAGAACCUGCCCCCUCCCCCGGGAUAGCCGCCCGAAAGGACGGGUAAUACCGGAUACCCCGGGGUGCCGCAUGGCACCCCGGCUAAAGCCCCGACGGGAGGGGAUGGCUCCGCGGCCCAUCAGGUAGACGGCGGGGUGACGGCCCACCGUGCCGACAACGGGUAGCCGGGUUGAGAGACCGACCGGCCAGAUUGGGACUGAGACACGGCCCAGACUCCUACGGGAGGCAGCAGUGGGGAAUCUUGCGCAAUGGGGGGAACCCUGACGCAGCGACGCCGCGUGCGGGACGGAGGCCUUCGGGUCGUAAACCGCUUUCAGCAGGGAAGAGUCAAGACUGUACCUGCAGAAGAAGCCCCGGCUAACUACGUGCCAGCAGCCGCGGUAAUACGUAGGGGGCGGGCGUUAUCCGGAUUCAUUGGGCGUAAAGCGCGCGUAGGCGGCCCGGCAGGCCGGGGGUCGAAGCGGGGGGCUCAACCCCCCGAAGCCCCCGGAACCUCCGCGGCUUGGGUCCGGUAGGGGAGGGUGGAACACCCGGUGUAGCGGUGGAAUGCGCAGAUAUCGGGUGGAACACCGGUGGCGAAGGCGGCCCUCUGGGCCGAGACCGACGCUGAGGCGCGAAAGCUGGGGGAGCGAACAGGAUUAGAUACCCUGGUAGUCCCAGCCGUAAACGAUGGACGCUAGGUGUGGGGGGACGAUCCCCCCGUGCCGCAGCCAACGCAUUAAGCGUCCCGCCUGGGGAGUACGGCCGCAAGGCUAAAACUCAAAGGAAUUGACGGGGGCCCGCACAAGCAGCGGAGCAUGUGGCUUAAUUCGAAGCAACGCGAAGAACCUUACCAAGUCUUGACAUCCCUUGACAGACAUAGAAAUAUGUUUUCUCUUCGGAGCAAGGAGACAGGUGGUGCAUGGUUGUCGUCAGCUCGUGUCGUGAGAUGUUGGGUUAAGUCCCGCAACGAGCGCAACCCCCGCCGCGUGUUGCCAUCGGGUGAUGCCGGGAACCCACGCGGGACCGCCGCCGUCAAGGCGGAGGAGGGCGGGGACGACGUCAAGUCAUCAUGCCCCUUAUGCCCUGGGCUGCACACGUGCUACAAUGGCCGGUACAGAGGGAUGCCACCCCGCGAGGGGGAGCGGAUCCCGGAAAGCCGGCCCCAGUUCGGAUUGGGGGCUGCAACCCGCCCCCAUGAAGUCGGAGUUGCUAGUAAUCGCGGAUCAGCAUGCCGCGGUGAAUGCGUUCCCGGGCCUUGUACACACCGCCCGUCACACCACCCGAGUCGUCUGCACCCGAAGUCGCCGGCCCAACCGUCAAGGGGGGAGGCGCCGAAGGUGUGGAGGGUGAGGGGGGUG